rnacentral:pre_miRNA from 1 species
UCUUUGUUUUCCACACUCUCUCAUCAGUCAGAGUGGCGAGAGAGUGUGCGAAAUGAAGAUA